AACGAACGCUGGCGGCAGGCUUAACACAUGCAAGUCGAGCGCCCCGCAAGGGGAGCGGCAGACGGGUGAGUAACGCGUGGGAAUCUACCGAGCCCUAAGGAAUAGCUCCGGGGAACUGGAAUUAAUACCUUAUACGCCCUAUUGGGGACAGAUUUAUCGGGGUUUGAUGAGCCCGCGUUGGAUUAGCUAGUUGGUGGGGUAAAGGCCUACCAAGGCGACGAUCCAUAGCUGGUCUGAGAGGAUGAUCAGCCACAUUGGGACUGAGACACGGCCCAAACUCCUACGGGAGGCAGCAGUGGGGAAUAUUGGACAAUGGGCGCAAGCCUGAUCCAGCCAUGCCGCGUGAGUGAUGAAGGCCCUAGGGUUGUAAAGCUCUUUCACCGGUGAAGAUAAUGACGGUAACCGGAGAAGAAGCCCCGGCUAACUUCGUGCCAGCCGCCGCGGUAAAAC
rnacentral:rRNA from 1 species